UGAAAACUUAAAACUUAAAAGACUUGACGGUGCUUCACACCGACCUAGAGGAGCCUGUCCAAUAACCGAUAAUCCACGAUUAACCUCACCCCCCCUAGCCCACAGUCUAUAUACCGCCGUCGCCAGCUUACCUUAUAAAAGAAACGAAGUGAGCUCAACAGUAUAGCACUAACACGACAGGUCGAGGUGUAACUUAUGGGGGGGAUAAGGAUGGGCUACAUUUUCUAAAUACAGAAAAAACGAACAGACUAUGAAACUAGAUAACUGAAGGCGGAUUUAGCAGUAAUAUGGGGAUAAAACACCCACCUGAAACUAACGCAAUGAAGCACGU
rnacentral:rRNA from 1 species